CAGCAAUGAUGAGUGUGGAUCCAAGUGUGAUGCACAGAUCCGGUUCCUUAAGAGGUUCAAAGGAGCGGCUCAGAUUCUCGAGAAAGGAGGAUACACUCGCUUCACUCCCCACUACAUCACCUGGUACUGUCCUGAAGCGUUUCUAGCAAGCAGACAAUGCAAAUCGCAAUGCAUCAACGGAGGAAGGUAUUGUGCUCCUGACCCUGAGCAAGAUUUCUCCAGAGGAUACAACGGGAGAGACGUGAUCAUUCAGAAUUUACGCCAAGCUUGCUUCUUUAGGGUGAUGAAUGAAAGUGGAAAGCCUUGGAUUUGGUGGGAUUAUGUCACCGACUUCGCCAUCCGUUGUCCCAUGAAACACGAAAAGUACAACAAACAAUGCGCCGAUCAAGUUAUUCGCUCGCUUGGUAUUAACCAACUUCUUAUUCUAUUACAUAUAUAUAUAUAUAUAUAUAUAUAUAUAUCUGUCUUUUUUUUUUUAUCAUCUCUCGACAUAUGUCUUUCGAGAAGGAGUCGAUGUGAAUAAAAUUGACAAAUGCAUUGGAGACAUCGAAGCAAACACUGAGAGCCCUGUUCUCAGAGAUGAACAAGAAGCACAAGUGAGCCCUCUCUCUCCCUCUCUCUCUCUCUCUCUCUCUUUUCACAAAUAUAAGCCUUCUAACUAUUGAUUGCUAAUUUUGUUCAAGGUUGGGAAAGGUUCGCGAGGAGAUGUGACAAUACUACCAACUAUUGUGAUAAACAACAGACAAUACAGAGGUGACAAGCAAGGAAGUUCUUCGGUUUUAACAUUAUUAACUGGUUCGGUUUUUAUUUAAUAUUUUAUUAUCACAGGGAAGUUGGAGAGAUCUGCGGUGCUUAAGGCCCUUUGCUCAGGGUUCCGCGAGACGACUGAGCCACCCAUAUGCUUAACCGAAGGUCCUCUCUACUUCCUGUACAUAUCUCUAUUUGAUAUACCACUAGUUUUAACGUAUGGUUCUGGAUUCUGUGAUUGCGCAGACAUAGAAACCAACGAGUGUUUACAAAACAAUGGAGGGUGUUGGGAGGAUAAGACUACCAACAUUACAGCUUGCAGGGUAUGUAACAUAUUUAAAGAUAUUUUCUUGUUUUGUUAUAGUUAUGCUACAUAUCUACGUGUAUGUUUCAGUAAAAGGAGUAUCAUUCUUGCAGGACACUUUCAGAGGAAGAGUAUGUCAAUGUCCCAUUGUUCAAGGUGUCAAGUUUUUGGGUGAUGGUUACACACAUUGUGAAGGUAAAAAAAAUGCUCAAAUUUAUGUUAUGAUUAACUUAAUGAUAUUUUUCACAUGUUUAAAUUUCUAUAUUGCAGCGUCGGGGGCAUUGCGUUGUGGGAUAAACAAUGGAGGAUGCUGGAAACAUACCCAAAUGGGAAGAACAUAUUCGGCUUGCCGUGUAAUAUGUCAUACCUCAAAACUAACUAAUUUCCAUCCUCUGUUUAAACAUUCCCUCUCUUUCUAUAUAUUUGACUUACAAUGAUUGCUUCUUACGUUUUAUUUUUGUUGUUGUUGCUGUUGUUCAGGAUGAUCAUUCGAAAGGCUGCAAAUGUCCACCUGGAUUCAAGGGAGAUGGGCUGAAAAACUGCGAAGGUAUUCUUUGAAUAGAUUAUACAUAUGAAAUAUAAGAGCUUGAACUAAAAACUAAAACCCCCCACAUGUUGUUGAUGUGUUAUAAAUACAGAUGUGAAUGAGUGUGAAGAGAAAACGGCGUGCCAGUGUCGCGGCUGCAAAUGCAAGAACACAUGGGGAAGCUAUGAAUGCAGCUGCAGCGGAAGCCUACUUUACAUCAGAGAGCACGACAUUUGCAUAAGUAUGUAUUCAUCACAUAAUUCUUGAAACCAGAAAAAGUGUCAGAUCAUCAAGGGGAUAAAAAUUAAAUUUUACUAUGCAUUUAGGUAAGGAUGCAAGAGGAGACGUAAGCUGGGGGGUGAUAUGGAUAAUACUAAUGGGUUUGGGAGCAGCUGCUUUGGGAGCUUACACGGUUUACAAAUACAGAAUCCGGGUAUGCUUAUUAGAACAUACUUGUUCAAUAUUUGAAUUAAGUUGGUAUAACUCUGAUAAAUUAAUUUUAUUAUGUGGUUAAUAUUUUUAAUAAAAAUAAUUAUAUACUUUUAAUAAAGAUUUAUACUUUUCAACGAAAAAAUCAAUUUUUUUUAUGAAUGCUUAAAUUAUAUUAAGAAAAAAAUAAUAAUUAAGAAUGGUUGAAAAAAAAUUAUUUGAACUUGGACUCAAUGGCCCAAAGGAAAAAAAAUGUGAGAAUUGGACUUGAUUUCUUAAUCGGCCCAAAUGACCCAAGAGAGAUCUGAUGUGGACAGUGGGCUGGAUCCGAAAAAAAUAGCCCAAUAUAAAUGUGUUAAUAAUAUUACUUGAUUGCCCUUAAUGAAACAUGCAAUGUUAGUAAAAAAAGGACAGACUAAGGUAAAAAGCACAAUAAGAUCAUGCUUUAAUAGUAUAGAUAUAUUUGAGACUUAUGUAUAUAAUAUCAAAAAAAAAAAAAAUAGGCUGAUAACACAUGAUAAAAUCCAAAGAAAUUAAUAUGAUCCACCCCCCUCGUUACUCGUUCUUUAAGUAAAACAAAUAUAUUUUAUAUAUUAUAAGUUCAACAAAAUAUGGGGAUCAAACAACAAAAGUUUAUGAUUUUAAGGAGCUAACCAACAUUCAAAUCUAUGUUUGUUCAUAUGGUGUUAUUAUAUAUAUAAGGUAUCAUGGUUUGUUCGAUUUGAUAUGUGUAAAGAUGUUUGACCAAAUAAAUGGUCCACAGGUUCGGGUACUCGGAAGACCGCGUUUCAUAAAAAGAGGGACGUACUUUCGUCCGAUUAUUCUAAUAGUGAACGGGAAAUUAGUAUUUAUCGAAAUUGCUUAAAAAAUAGUAAUUAAUACUUAUUAAAAAAAUCUAUACAUGUUAGGGCAUGUGCAUCGUAGCUUUUUUAGGAGGGACCACAAAAAGAUAAAAAUAGAUAAUCAAAAGCGCCAAUUAAAGAUCGUUGUUUGAGUGAUCUUUGUACUGUUUCGAGGAUCUCACGACACGUGACGGCCUGCGAUUGAUUCUUUUUUUUUUUUAUAAAUCAGAUAAGACAGAAAAAAAAAUAAUUUAGAAACUCAUUUUGGAUUUCACCCGAUAAUCAUGGUUUUAUAUUUAAAACCCUACUACCACUACUACAACUACAAAAUGGAAAUAAAAGGGAUCGAAAAGGCUUUCUUGGAUAAGGCAUAUACGUUGCUUACAAGGGAUAAGGCAUAUACAACUUUGAGAAAAAGAAAUAUGGGUCUAAUAUAUAUAUAUAUUCAGAAGAAAAGACCCAUAAAUUAGGUUAUUAGCCCCAAAUCGCGUCAGUGUGUUUAUUGCCACGUCAAAACCAGGAGAAAGCGGAAGAUAUAUUUGAUCUGAGAGUUAGUUUGACAGUUUCAAUUUCUUUUUAUGGGAAAGCGAAGCUAAAGUGAAAGAGAGAAAAUAGAAAGCUUAGCCAAUAUUAGAAAUCAAACUGAGAAAUGUAUCUAUCGGGUGGGAUGAUGAUGAAGAAUGUAAGAUUAUAUGUAACGGGAUGGGUGAUGGUGUGGUGGUGGUGGUGGGGUUCGUGCAUGGGGAGGUUCGUGGUUGAGAAGAAUAGCCUCCGAGUGACUUCACCCGAGUCCAUCAGAGGAAUCUAUGAAUGCGCCCUUGGCAACUUUGGUGUUCCUCAGUACGGCGGAAGCAUGUCUGGCUCCGUUGUUUACCCCAAAGCUAACCAGAAGGCUUGCAAGAACUUUGAGGAUUUCGACAUCUCUUUCAGAUCUAGAGUCGCUGGAUUGCCCACAUUCGUUCUCGUCGAUCGAGGAGGUCCCCAAUUCCUUUCUCUCUUUUUUAGAUUCACAUGAAAACUAGGAUGACUUGCUACGCAAGGAACCGAUGACUCACCUGGUUAUUUGUUGUGAUUUUGGUCCCUCCCCCAGAUUGUUACUUCACCUUGAAGGCCUGGAACGCGCAACGAGCUGGUGCUGCGACAAUAUUGGUGGCGGAUAACAGGCCGGAGCCACUCAUAACCAUGGACGCCCCAGAGGACGAAACGGCAGAUGCGGAAUACCUGCAGAACAUCACGAUUCCUUCAGCGCUGUUGAGCAGAUCUCUAGGGAGCGCCAUCAAAACGGCCAUAGAUCAAGGAGAACCCGUCCGUAUAAGUCUGGACUGGCGGGAAGCUCUUCCACACCCGAACGACCGAGUAGCCUACGAGCUAUGGACCAACAGCAAUGAUGAGUGCGGAUCCAAGUGUGAUGCACAGAUCCGGUUCCUUAAGAGGUUCAAAGGAGCGGCUCAGAUUCUCGAGAAAGGAGGAUACACUCGCUUCACUCCCCACUACAUCACCUGGUAUUGUCCGGAAGCGUUUCUGGCAAGCAGACAAUGCAAAUCGCAAUGCAUCAACGGAGGAAGGUACACGGCCAUAGAUCAAGGAGAACCCGUCCGUAUAAGUCUGGACUGGCGGGAGGCUCUUCCACACCCGAACGACCGAGUAGCCUACGAGCUAUGGACCAACAGCAAUGAUGAGUGUGGAUCCAAGUGUGAUGCACAGAUCCGGUUCCUUAAGAGGUUCAAAGGAGCGGCUCAGAUUCUCGAGAAAGGAGGAUACACUCGCUUCACUCCCCACUACAUCACCUGGUACUGUCCUGAAGCGUUUCUAGCAAGCAGACAAUGCAAAUCGCAAUGCAUCAACGGAGGAAGGUAUUGUGCUCCUGACCCUGAGCAAGAUUUCUCCAGAGGAUACAACGGGAG
rnacentral:lncRNA from 1 species